rnacentral:rRNA from 1 species
UUUACGGAGAGUUUGAUCCUGGCUCAGGAUGAACGCUGGCGGCGUGCCUAACACAUGCAAGUCGAACGGUGCCUACGGGCACAGUGGCGCACGGGUGCGUAACACGUAGAGACCUGCCCGGGAGCGGGGGAUAACGGUUGGAAACGACCGCUAAUACCCUAUAGCCUCGCGAGAGGAAAGCGGAUGCGCUCCCGGAGGGCUCUGCGGCCUAUCAGCUGGUUGGUGGGGUGAUGGCUCACCAAGGCGAUGACGGGUAGCUGGCCUGAGAGGGUGGUCAGCCACAUGGGGACUGAGACACGGCCCCAACUCCUACGGGAGGCAGCAGUGAGGAAUCUUGCCCAAUGAGCGCAAGCUUGAGGCAGCAACGCCGCGUGGAGGACGACGUCUUUCGGGAUGUAAACUCCUUUUCAGGGGGAGCAGAGCGGAGCGUACCCCUGGAAUCAGUCACGGCUAACUACGUGCCAGCAGCCGCGGUAACACGUAGGUGGCGAGCGUUAUCCGGAUUGACUGGGCGUAAAGGGUCCGUAGGUGGGCUGGCCGGUCUGGUGUGAAAUCUCUCGGCUUAACUGAGAGGCGCCACUGGAAACCGCCAGGCUGGAGUCGCGCAGAGGGCACUGGAAUUCCCGGUGUAGUGGUGGAAUGCGUAGAGAUCGGGAGGAACACCAGAGGCGCAAGCGGGUGCCUGGGCGCCGACUGACACUGAGGGACGAAAGCGUGGGCAGCGAACAGGAUUAGAUACCCUGGUAGUCCACGCUGUAAACGUUGUGUGCUCGGUUUCUGGGGUAUCGACCCCCUGGGAGCCCAAGUUAACGCGUUAAGCACACCGCCUGGGGAUUACGGCCGCAAGGCUAAAACUCAAAGGAAUUGACGGGGGCCCGCACAAGCAGCGGAGCGUGUGGUUUAAUUCGAUGCUACGCGCAGAACCUUACCCGGGCUUGACAGGCCGGUGGUAGCGGCUGGAAACAGGCGUGACCUUCGGGAGCCGGCACAGGUGCUGCAUGGUUGUCGUCAGCUCGUGUCGUGAGAUGUUGGGUUAAGUCCCGCAACGAGCGCAACCCCUGGGGUCUGUUGCACGUACCAGGCCCGACUGCCCGGCGCAACUGGGAGGAAGGUGGGGAUGACGUCAAAUCAGCAUGGCCUUGAUGUCCGGGGCGACACACACGCUACAAUGGCCGGUACAAUGCGUCGCCACCGCGCAAGCGGGCGCGAAUCGCCAAAGCCGGUCUCAGUUCGGAUUGGGGUCUGCAACUCGACCCCAUGAAGGCGGAGUUGCUAGUAACCGCGCGUCAGCCAUAGUGCGGUGAAUGCGUUCCCGGGCCUUGUACACACCGCCCGUCACGUCAUGGGAGUGGGUAACACCUGAAGUCGGUCGGGCAACCGCGAGGAGCCCCCCGCCGAGGGUGGGACCCGCGACUGGGACGAAGUCGUAACAAGGUAGCUGUACCGGAAGGUGCGGCUGGAUCACCUCCUUU